rnacentral:rRNA from 1 species
UCGGUUAAAAAGCUCGUAGUUGGAUCUCGGUUCGUGGCGAUCGGACCGUCUUCGCGACGGGUUCCAGAUCGAUCCGAACAGAAAUAGCCGGUUAGCCUGGCGAUGCUCUUCAUCGAGUGUGUGUCGGGCGGCUGGUACGUUUACUUUGAAAAAAUUAGAGUGCUCAAAGCAGGCCUUAGCGCCAGAAUAAUAGUGCAUGGAAUAAUGGAAUAGGAUCUCGGUUCUAUUUUGUUGGUUCUCGGAACACGAGAUAAUGAUUAAUAGGAACAGACGGGGGCAUUCGUAUUGCGACGUUAGAGGUGAAAUUCUUGGAUCGUCGCAAGACGGACUACUGCGAAAGCAUUUGCCAAGAAUGUUUUCAUUAAUCAAGAACGAAAGUUAGAGGUUCGAAGGCGAUCAGAUACCGCCCUAGUUCUAACCAUAAACGAUGCCAAC